GAUGAACGCUGGCGGCGUGCUUAACACAUGCAAGUCGAACGGAGUAGUUCCGCUGACGAGACUUCGGUCAAAUCUUGGGACUACUUAGUGGCGGACGGGUGAGUAACGCGUGAGUAACCUGCCCUUGAGAGGGGAAUAACGUUCUGAAAAGAACGCUAAUACCGCAUAACAUAUAUUUGUCGCAUGGCAGAUAUAUCAAAGAUUUUAUCGCUCAAGGAUGGACUCGCGUCCGAUUAGUUAGUUGGUGAGGUAACGGCUCACCAAGACCGCGAUCGGUAGCCGGACUGAGAGGUUGAACGGCCACAUUGGGACUGAGACACGGCCCAGACUCCUACGGGAGGCAGCAGUGGGGGAUAUUGCGCAAUGGGGGGCAACCCUGACGCAGCAACGCCGCGUGAAGGAAGAAGGCCUUCGGGUUGGUAAACUUCUUUUACCUAGGACGAAGAACGUGACGGUACCUGGAGAAAAAGACAACGGCGUAACUAACGUG
rnacentral:rRNA from 1 species